UAAACUUCCGGCUUUUCAGAAUUUCGCCACAUCACUUUAACAAAAUUAUUGUUUACAUCCUUCUAAGUUUAACAUCGACAUCAGUUUGUAACCAUCCACAUCACUUUGUAAAUUCCUCCGCCCCUUUCUUCUUCAUUCGUCUCCCCUACUAUCUUCCUUUCUUCUUCAUUCGUCUCCCACUGUUCCUUUGAUUCUCCCGACGACUUCAUCCAAAAAUAUAGGAUUUCGAUUUCUCUCACCAAAAACUUUUGCGCUCUAUUUCCGCCACCAAACGCCUGUAACCAAGUGCAUGUAAUCUGAGGAAUUUCGGUAUGUUGUUGGUUGUUUCAACCCAUCGCCUUCUCUACCGGUCGAAUUUCUUUUCAUCGGCCACAUGUUUCACAGUUUAUGCUUCCACGUUUUCUCCACCGUCUUUCCUCUUAUCCUCUGCUUCACCAACAAAUCAAAACCCAAAACAAUCUCAAUAACCAUCCAAACACAUCACCAUUCGGACCAAAACAAUCUCAAUUAUCCUUCAAAAAUCAAAAUAAUCAGCGAGCGAACCCCAUAAUUCGAAAUCGAAAUCGAAAGAGGAGCAGGAACCAAACGAAAUUCAACGUGCGUUCUUCAAAUAUUUCUAAAUUUCCUGACAAGUCAGGAUGAUUGCAGGCAUCUAAGGCAAAGUAUAAAGUAUGCAUGGUAGCAGUGUAUUACACGUAAGUGGAAGUUAUGGGAAAAAGAGAUUUUUGAGGAACUUGUACCCCAUGGCGCAGAUCCAUCACAGUUUAGGCCUACCAAGGAAUUAUCUUUUGUGAAACAUCACAUUGUUUCUUUUACCAGUACUCCAACAAUAUUUUACCUUGUAAGGGAGUUAUAUAUAACAAAGUGAAAUAGUUUUAUAAUUAUUAUAUCUGAAAUUUAUGUGCAAACUAAUCACUAAUAGUUUUUUAAAUUAAAAAAACAUACACAAAGUAUAUAAUUUCAAUAGUUAGUUUUUAAGAAAACUAUGAGUAUGAUAGUUAUAAUGAUUCACACUCAACAAAGAGAAAACCUAAAAAAAAUUAUAGAACAUUUACCAGCAUCAAUACUAACUGUAUGGGCCUAAGAACAAAACCCACUUCAAAACAGAAAAAAAACCCCAAAAACAACCCGACCCGUGGUUCACCACGGGUUCACUUACUAGUUAAGAUUAAAUAAAAGAAGCGGAUCAAUUAAUCCCAAAACAGAAACCAAGAAAGCACGGUCGAGGAUCACUUUGUAUAGAGAAUAGUAAUCGGUGGAGAUAGAGUGAUAGAACGCGAAGAGAUAAAGUGAUAGAGAUCAAGGCAACGUAGUGGGUGCAUCACUGCAUCAGCGAGCUGUGUAAGCAUUUCAUUGGAGAACAAAACGGCAGGGAAGAAGAAGCUCACACGUAUACGUGACCAAGACUCCUCAACAAUUUGACAAGGGAUUAUAUGUAAAAUAUUAGGAUUGUCACACCCCCGAACCAGACGGCGGAAACGUCCGGGGGCUGUUGUGACUCGAUUGAAUACCAUUACAAUGAAUAUACAUGAAACAUAACAUCAUUCAUCACCAAGCAUUUGAAUAUUACAACUGAUAGU